rnacentral:rRNA from 1 species
CCUACGGGAGGCAGCAGUGAGGAAUAUUGGUCAAUGGACGAGAGUCUGAACUAGCCAAGUAGCGUGAAGGAUGACUGCCCUAUGGGUUGUAAACUUCUUUUAUAUGGGAAUAAAACGUUCCACGUGUGGGAUUUUGUAUGUACCAUAUGAAUAAGGAUCGGCUAACUCCGUGCCAGCAGCCGCGGUAAUACGGAGGAUCCGAGCGUUAUCCGGAUUUAUUGGGUUUAAAGGGAGCGUAGGUGGAUUGUUAAGUCAGUUGUGAAAGUUUGCGGCUCAACCGUAAAAUUGCAGUUGAAACUGGCAGUCUUGAGUACAGUAGAGGUGGGCGGAAUUCGUGGUGUAGCGGUGAAAUGCUUAGAUAUCACGAAGAACUCCAAUUGCGAAGGCAGUUCACUGGACUGCAACUGACACUGAGGCUCGAAAGUGUGGGUAUCAAACAGGAUUAGAUACCCUUGUAGUC